rnacentral:lncRNA from 1 species
ACCAUGCCCGGCUAAUUUUUUGUACUUCUUUUUUAGGAGAGAUGGGAUUUCACCAUGUUAGCCAGGAUGGUCUCGAUCUGCUGACCUAGUGAUCUGCCCGCCUCGGCCGCCCAAAGUGCUGGGAUUACAGGCGUGAGCCACAGCUCCCGGCCAUAUCAUGUAAUUCUUAAAGAAGUGAACCUGUGGAGUUUUAAAGAAUUGGCCAAGGACAUCAAGCAAGUUACAAGGUGAUCACACGUACCUCUAAGUCCUGCCUGGGUUCACUCCACAAAGGUCAUUCACAAAUUACAGCAAACAUUGCAUAGUGUGCUUUAAACAAAGCCACCUUACAGAAGCUCUUUUGCACCCAUUAUCAACGAUCUGCACAACAGCUCCGUGAGGUGUUGUGGACGCUUUUAUUAUGACUUGUCAGUACCUCUUACCCUCUUUUUCAGCUUUGCUCUCCCCUCUCAAGGAACAGCACCUUCCUCAUUUCAGUGAAUUGGUUCUAGGGCUACGGUGGUAUCUUGCUCCUCUGGCUGCAGUGAUUGGCCCAACAAUGUACUUGUGGCCCACACAGGGCCAAUCAGAGUCGUUCUUUGGGUUCUUAUACCUUGAGCUAGAGGCGUAUACUCUUCUUCCUGGGCAGCCACUGCACACGUGAGCCUGAGGGUAGCUGUGUUCCAGCUUUGCACAGAAAGCAGGUUUGGGAGAAUGAAGCCAGAGGCCAAGGAGAGAAUGCGGAAUCCUGGAGUGUUGAAGGCCCUUGUUUUGAUUCCUCGCGUCCUCCAGUCCAUCCUCAUUUUCUGGAGAGGCAGCGUGACCUAACGACGAAAGCCUCCACAACUGGUUUCUGUCGGUGUGAGUCCCAAAUCUGCCACUGGCUGGCUGGGAAACCUUGGGUAAGCUACUUAACCACUCUGUGCCUCAGUUUCCUUGUCUGUAACAUGAGAACAAGAAUGCCUUCUACCUACUUCAUAGCAUUGUUUCUAAAACACUUAGUGCAGUUGCUGGUUUGUAGUGCAGUAUUGGUAAGGUUAGCUAUUACUCUUUUAUUUGAGUUGUUUACAAGCAGAUGGUAUGGAACACAGCUCCAUGAAGUAUGGUCCCAAUCACUAGGGCCUGAUCCCUGCCUUGCAGGGAAGGGCAGCUACACAGUCUGGGAUUCUCUGCAUUUGAGAAAGCUGGGUAGCUGACAUUAGGAAAGCUGAUUGUUUGCUUGUUCUGUUUGAUAUUUUGCCAGUGGCUUCUGGCACAGCCGUGAAGACAGGGUUCCCAGUUUCUCAUCCAUCACCACCUUUGAUCUACCCAGCUCCCUCCAUGCCAUCUUUAUUAUUGUUCCCAUCACACAGAUGAGUAAAUGGGCUCAGAGAUGUGAGGUGACCUGCCAAUAAUAGGUGGCAUCCCUGAGACUGGAACCAAGUCUGCUCAUUCUUAAUCCUGGGGCCUUUAGCCAUAGAGUGGGCCUCUCCAACUACUACUGAUUGUUUUCUUGCUUGAGGGCAGGGACAGGACCCUGGGGCUCAGAAAGGAAGAGAGGCACUUUUCAGGGCCACUCGCCCUGUCACAAGUAUGAUCUGCUGUUGGCCUUGCGUCCCCAGCGAUCAGAUGGAAGAGAGCCAGUUUAGAACUAGAGGGGGUUUUAUAUGUGCUUUUUUUGCUUCUGUUUUUCCUUGAACACUUUAAUUGAGUGGUUAAAAUCUACCUUCCGGCCAGGCGUGGUGGCUCACGCCUGUAAUCCCAGCACUUUGGGAGGCUGAGGUGGGCGGAUCAUGAGGUCAGGAGUUGAGAGCAUCCUGGCCAACAUGGUGAAACCCUGUCUCUACUAAAAUACAAAAAAUUAGCCAGCCAUGGUGGUGCACACCUGUAGUCCCAGCUACCUGGGAGGCUGAGGCAGGGGAAUUGCUUGAACCUGGGAGGUGGAGGUUGCAGCGAGCCGAGAUCGCACCACUGCACUCCAGCCUGGGUGACAGAGCAAGGCUCUGUCUCAAAAAAAAAAAAAAAAAAAAAAAGCGUACCUUCCAAAUUCCUAACAAGCUGCAUGGCAAGUAGGAUGAGUGUCAGGGGAAUCUGUGGGUAGGUGAUGACUGUGGAGGCGGAUGGUGGUCAGCCCAUGUGGCUUUCAUUCAUCCAGACAU